AUUUUUGGAUAAUCGCGUGUAAUGGUAUUACAUGAGGAAAGUCCAUGCUAGCACUGACUGAGAUGUCAGUAGUGAUUGUGCUAGGCGAAAAAAUAAGCCUAGGGAGAGUAAAAUCUUACGGCAAGCAAACUGACUAAGUCUAUAGAUAUGUCAUAGUAGCUUUUAAAGUGCCACAGUGACGAAGUUUUUAUGGAAACGUAAAAAAUGGAACGCGGUAAACCCCUCAAGCUAGCAACCCAAACUUUGGUAGGGGCAUGGGAUAGUUGGAAAUGAACAUUCUAUCCUGACUGUUUAACAGUAGACAGAUGAUUAUCGAAGGAAAUAAUACCUAGUUAUUUCUGGAACAAAACAUGGCUUAUAGAA
rnacentral:RNase_P_RNA from 1 species